ACGUGCCGAGUAGUGGGGGAUAACGCAUCGAAAGGAGUGCUAAUACCGCAUACGAACUGAGGUUGAAAGUGGGGGACCUUCGGGCCUCACGCUAUUCGAGCGGCCGACGUCUGAUUAGCUAGUUGGUGAGGUAAAGGCUCACCAAGGCGACGAUCAGUAGCGGGUCUGAGAGGAUGAUCCGCCACACUGGGACUGAGACACGGCCCAGACUCCUACGGGAGGCAGCAGUGGGGAAUUUUGGACAAUGGGCGCAAGCCUGAUCCAGCCAUGCCGCGUGUCUGAAGAAGGCCUUCGGGUUGUAAAGGACUUUUGUCCGGGAGCAAAUACCUGGUGUUAAUAGCAUCGGGAGCUGAGAGUACCGGAAGAAUAAGCACCGGCUAACUACGUGCCAGCAGCCGCGGUAAUACGUAGGGUGCAAGCGUUAAUCGGAAUUACUGGGCGUAAAGCGUGCGCAGGCGGUUUUGUAAGCCAGAUGUGAAAGCCCCGGGCUCAACCUGGGAACUGCGUUUGGAACUACAAGACUAGAGUGUGUCAGAGGGGGGUGGAAUUCCGCGUGUAGCAGUGAAAUGCGUAGAGAUGCGGAGGAACACCGAUGGCGAAGGCAGCCCCCUGGGAUAACACUGACGCUCAUGCACGAAAGCGUGGGGAGCAAACAGGAUU
rnacentral:rRNA from 1 species